UACAGAGGUCUCGAGCGUUAGGCGGAAUCACUGGGCUUAAAGCGUGUGUAGGCGGGUCGUUAAGUGCCUUGUGAAAUCCCAUGGCUCAACCAUGGAACUGCUGGGCAUACUGGCGAUCUUGUGCCACCUAGGGGCGAGCGGAACAGAUGGUGGAGCGGUGAAAUGCGUAGAUAUCAUCUGGAACGCCAAGUGGUGAAAACAGCUCGCUGGGGGUGU
rnacentral:rRNA from 1 species